GGACCCGACUGCUAUCAGAGUGGGAAUAAGCCAUGCGAGUCAACAUAGCAAUAUGUGGCAUACGGCUCAGUAACACGUAGUCAACAUGCCCAGGGGACGUGGAUAACCUCGGGAAACUGAGGAUAAACCGCGAUAGGUCAUCACUUUUGGAAUGGGUAAUGACUUAAAUUUAUAUGGCCCCUGGAUUGGACUGCGGCCGAUCAGGCUGUUGGUGAGGUAAUGGCCCACCAAACCUGUAACCGGUACGGGCUUUGAGAGGAGGAGCCCGGAGAUGGGCACUGAGACAAGGGCCCCGGCCCUAUGGGGCGCAGCAGGCGCGAAACCUUUGCAAUAGGGGAAAGCUUGACAGGGUUACUUUGAGUGAUUUCCGUUAAGGAGAUCUUUUGGCACCUCUAAAAAUGGUGCAGAAUAAGGGGUGGGCAAGUUUGGUGU
rnacentral:rRNA from 1 species